CACGAGGAGCACCGCAACCCGGGCGUCAGGCAGCAGAAGACAGAAAUGGCUCGGAAGAGGUCCUUUGGCUGCCGGGAGGCAGGAUUUAAAGACAAAACGGUCCCUUUUGGUAUUUAGAAAGUGUCGUAGACUAGACAGCCAAAAGGCUCUUCAAAGGCAUUCCCGCAGAAGCGGGCAGACCUCUGCCUGUGGCAUCUCCUGCCCCUCGGAGAGGAAAGGGGACUACGCACCUUCUGCGGCCACCGCGGAGGCACCAGGGCAGAGCUCGGGCAGGCUUCGGGGGGUUCAGCACCAGAGAGCAUCGCUUCGCGGGACCAAAGACACCAAGGCACACUAUUACAGAUUUCACUGGAUAUUGCCUUAGGCUUCCAAAGCCUUCACUGAGCAAGACUACUCUGUGCCACUGAAAUGCCACCUUCCAGCCAGCCAAGUAUUCACCCAAGAGCAAAGGCCUUUUUCACAGCACUGCAAUCUCCUUUGAACAAACCAUGUACAAAGUUUCCGGCUUCUGCACACGCACCUACCCCACCUCGUCUGACUCCAGGCUUUGGCUUCUCCCCAGGUGUGGUUUCAGUGCCUCAGACCUGGAGUGCAUCCAUGACUACCAGCUUUAUCUUCACAAAGAGAAGCUGCUAAUGAGCAAGCAAGUGCCAAAUGGGCAGCUUUCCAGAAGAGCUGCCUGGCACGUUGGACAGCUCGGAGUGCUGUUUCUGCAACAGACGGCAUUCAGAUUAUUUGCUGUGGAGCCAAUGCUGAAACAAUUGUGCAGAAACUGGCUUAAAAGAUAAGGAACAUUCCGAAAAGAAGGAACAUUCAACACAAGCCAGGACAAGAAGGGCUUCUUGGUCUCAUCUGUGUUGACAUAACUGUUCUGCCAGUGGUGGGAAUCUGUGGAUAGACACCACUAAUGAGCUGGUGAAGAUCUAUUCUGGGGAAGAUGAACAAGCCCUAAGACACUACAGACUGACUCAAGAUGACAAACUUGGCACGUACGAGUACUGGAAGAGCUAAGUCAUGUCCACAUCAAGAUUUAUGGGAACGCCAAGCAGAGAUGAGUUAGCAUUUACCCAGGUCUCCAUGUAAAGUCAGUCUAGUGAUCACCACAAACUCUUUUGACAAAGAAAUUAUAUUUUUUUCCAUUGCUGAAAAAGCUGUUUUGGCAUCUCUAUGUAUUUGUACUUUCCUGGGCUGCCGGCAGGUCAGCCCGGCAGGCACUGGCUGCAUAAGCCAGGGCAAAAGCACGACAGCACCCUGGCACAAGCUGCCAGGUCCCACCGGUGGUUCAAAUCGUGGCCCGUAGGCACCUCAAACACCCCAUCUCCUCCAGGGCUUUCAGAUAUGCCUUUGGACAUGGUCAGAUUAAUACACAGCACUGCUCUUUUCUCUUCUCACAGGAAUAAGCACAAAGAGCUGCCAGAGAGAACCACUUACCCUGUACAGCAUCGAGCUCUGCUGGU